rnacentral:tRNA from 1 species
GCAGUCGUGGCCGAGUGGCUAAGGCGAUGGACUAGAAAUCCAUUAGGGUCUUCCCGCGCAGGUUCGAAUCCUGUCGACUGCG